UUGGACUGCAAGUGCCAGGCUUAGAGCUCUUGCCUGUUAAAUUAGAAGCCAUGACUUAUCAUGUAUUUUCACAAGUAACCAAAACUGUACAAACACUUCUUUAGUUACACCUAUUAAUUUUAGCCGAAAUUACAAAUAUCGCCAAAAUGAUACAAAACCUAUGUACAAUCAAAUCGGCCGAAAAAUAUAGUUAAUAGUGAUCAGAACACGUUACUACAUUAUUAUUAUUUGAAUGUUAUUGAUAGCAAAUAUAUUUCAAACUGAUCAACUAUCUGUAGUAGAUGCAUUAUCAACAAGAAACAUAAUUAUAAUGAAGUGUAAGUGUAAGUGUUUUCAUUAUUGUAUGAAGUCAUCAGUUCUCAAAGAACGUUACCAUUAAUCUAUCCCAUCAAAAGGUUUACCACAUCUGCAAGACACACCAAGUUCUUCACUUUUAAACGAUCCUGGAAACAAAGCGCUGCAUGGAAAAUUUAACUAUUGAUUUAUUGAAAUCUUAUAGAAGCUGUAAACUAGUUAACUAUAUUUUUUGGUUUGGGAAACAUCUAAAUAAUACAUUUUGGUAAUAUAUAUCAUGUAGACUUUCACUUAGAA